rnacentral:rRNA from 1 species
UACGAAGGGGGCUAGCGUUGCUCGGAAUCACUGGGCGUAAAGCGCACGUAGGCGGCCUACUAAGUCAGGGGUGAAAUCCUGGAGCUCAACUCCAGAACUGCCUUUGAUACUGGUGAGCUUGAGUCCGGAAGAGGUGAGUGGAACUGCGAGUGUAGAGGUGAAAUUCGUAGAUAUUCGCAAGAACACCAGUGGCGAAGGCGGCUCACUGGUCCGGUACUGACGCUGAGGUGCGAAAGCGUGGGGAGCAAACAGG